GAUGAACGCUGGCGGCGUGCCUAAUACAUGCAAGUCGAGCGAACAGACGAGGAGCUUGCUCCUCUGACGUUAGCGGCGGACGGGUGAGUAACACGUGGAUAACCUACCUAUAAGACUGGGAUAACUUCGGGAAACCGGAGCUAAUACCGGAUAAUAUAUUGAACCGCAUGGUUCAAUAGUGAAAGACGGUUUUGCUGUCACUUAUAGAUGGAUCCGCGCCGCAUUAGCUAGUUGGUAAGGUAACGGCUUACCAAGGCAACGAUGCGUAGCCGACCUGAGAGGGUGGACGGCCACACUGGAACUUGAGCACGGUCCAGACCCCUACGGGGGGCAGCAGUAGGGAAUCUUCCGCAAUGGGCGAAAGCCUUACGGAGCAACGCCGCGUGAGUGAUGAAGGUCUUCGGAUCGUAAAACUCUGUUAUUAGGGAAGAACAAAUGUGUAAGUAACUAGGCACGUCUUGACGGUACCUAAUCAGAAAGCCACGGCUAACUACGUG
rnacentral:rRNA from 1 species